UACGAAGGGGGCUAGCGUUGCUCGGAAUCACUGGGCGUAAAGGGUGCGUAGGCGGGUCUUUUAAGUCAGGGGUGAAAUCCUGGAGCUCAACUCCAGAACUGCCUUUGAUACUGAAGAUCUUGAGUUCGGGAGAGGUGAGUGGAACUGCGAGUGUAGAGGUGAAAUUCGUAGAUAUUCGCAAGAACACCAGUGGCGAAGGCGGCUCACUGGCCCGAUACUGACGCUGAGACGCGAAAGCGUGGGGAGCAAACAGGG
rnacentral:rRNA from 1 species